rnacentral:rRNA from 1 species
GGGUUGUGAGGUUAAGCGACUAAGCGUACACGGUGGAUGCCUAGGCAGUCAGAGGCGAUGAAGGGCGUGCUAAUCUGCGAUAAGCGUCGGCAAGGUGAUAUGAACCGUUAUACCCGACGAUACCCGAAUGGGGAAACCCAGUGUGUUUCGACACACUAUCAUGACAUGAAUCCAUAGUGUCAUGAGGCGAACCGGGGGAACUGAAACAUCUCAGUACCCCGAGGAAAAGAAAUCAACCGAGAUUCCCCCAGUAGCGGCGAGCGAACGGGGAGGAGCCCAGAACCUGAAUCGGCUUGUGUGUCAGUGGAAGCGUCUGGAAAGUCGCACGAUACAGGGUGACAGUCCCGUACACGAAGAUGCACAGGCCGUGAGUUCGAUGAGUAGGGCGGGACACGUGGUAUCCUGUCUGAACAUGGGGGGACCAUCCUCCAAGGCUAAAUACUCCUGACUGACCGAUAGUGAACCAGUACCGUGAGGGAAAGGCGAAAAGAACCCCGGCGAGGGGAGUGAAAUAGAACCUGAAACCGUGUACGUACAAGCAGUGGGAGCACUCUUUAUGGGUGUGACUGCGUACCUUUUGUAUAAUGGGUCAGCGACUUAUAUUCUGUAGCAAGGUUAACCGCAUAGGGGAGCCGCAGGGAAACCGAGUCUUAACUGGGCGUUAAGUUGCAGGGUAUAGACCCGAAACCCGGUGAUCUAG